GACGGAGGGUGCAAACGUUGUCCGGAAUCACUGGGCGUAAAGCGCAUGUAGGUGGUUUGAUAAGUCUGCUAUUAAAGCCCGAUGCUUAACAUCGGAUCGGUAGCAGAUACUGUCUGACUUGAGGAUAGCAGGGGUAAGCGGAACUUUGAGUGUAGGAGUGAAAUCCGUAGAUAUUCAAAGGAACACCAAUGGCGAAGGCAGCUUACUGGGCUAUUUCUGACACUGAGAUGCGAAAGCGUGGGGAGCAAACGGG
rnacentral:rRNA from 1 species